rnacentral:misc_RNA from 1 species
AUAACAGUCACUUUUUUUAUGCAAAAGAAAUAACAUAACUAAAAAGUCAGCAUAUGGUUUGGCAAUUUAAUCAAUUAUCAUAUUAAUCAUUAAUAUUAUAUUAAAAAUCCAGAUCUCAUAAGAGGGAUACAACAACAAAGCAUAAUAUAUGACUUGAGCAGCCCUUGACAGAGGCUUGUGGAUCACAAAUCCAGCUUAAACACUUGAAUAUCG